ACUCAAAUGAAUUGACGGGGGCCCGCACAAGCAGCGGAGCGUGCGGUUUAAUUCGACGCAACGCGCAGAACCUUACCAGGCCUGGACAUGCGACUGCAGAGCCCCGAAAGGGGUUGGCCUUCGAGGGUGUCGCACAGGUGCUGCAUGGCUGUCUUCAGCUCGUGCCGUGAGGUGUUGGGUUAAGUCCCGCAACGAGCGCAACCCCUACGACUAGUUGCACGUUUCUAGUCGGACUGCCGGGAGCAAACCGGAGGAAGGCGGGGAUGACGUCAAGUCAGCAUGGCCCUGACGGCCUGGGCGACACGCACGCUACAAUGGCGCGGACAAUGGGUCGCCAACCCGCGAGGGGGAGCCAAUCCCAGGAAACCGCGUCUCAGUUCGGAUCGGGGGCUGCAACUCGCCCCCGUGAAGGCGGAGUUGCUAGUAACCGCCGGUCAGCCAUACGGCGGUGAAUCUGUUCCCGGGCCUUGUACACACCGCCCGU
rnacentral:rRNA from 1 species